rnacentral:rRNA from 1 species
AGUGAACGCUGGCGGUAGGCCUAACACAUGCAAGUCGAACGGCAGCACAGUAAGAGCUUGCUCUUACGGGUGGCGAGUGGCGGACGGGUGAGGAAUACAUCGGAAUCUACUUUUUCGUGGGGGAUAACGUAGGGAAACUUACGCUAAUACCGCAUACGACCUACGGGUGAAAGCAGGGGAUCUUCGGACCUUGCGCGAUUGAAUGAGCCGAUGUCGGAUUAGCUAGUUGGCGGGGUAAAGGCCCACCAAGGCGACGAUCCGUAGCUGGUCUGAGAGGAUGAUCAGCCACACUGGAACUGGGCCACGGUCCAGACUCCUACGGGAGGCAGCAGUGGGGAAUAUUGGGCAAUGGGCGCAAGCCUGAUCCAGCCAUACCGCGUGGGUGAAGAAGGCCUUCGGGUUGUAAAGCCCUUUUGUUGGGAAAGAAAAGCAGCAGGUUAAUACCACGCUGUUCUGACGGUACCCAAAGAAUAAGCACCGGCUAACUUCGUG